UCAUCCCGAGUCAUAUUAUUACGAGGAUAAUCACUAGAGAAACCAGAAAGCUUUAUGACGCAUGUUAUGCGUCUUGGCAGGAAUACUCAUUCUCACUGAAGGAGGCAAUUUUCAAUGAAUUUAAGGUAUAAAUAUUCUGUUUAGCAGCAUAAUUAUUUAUAUUUAUGAUAUUUCCAUAUAAUAUUUAACUUUUGAAAUACACAGCAAGUGUGCAUAAGAACACCAGUAUAGCGCGGACGUGGCUACAAGUUUUCAUCUGAAACAUCGCAAGCGGUUGUCUCAUAUUUUCUCCAAAGCUAGACAGAUAAACCAGAAGCCUGACUGGUUGCUUCAGAUUUUUUGGGAUGAUUUUCAAAUGCAAUGAUUUACUGCAGAUUUCUUAGAGAAGAACGAAAAAGGAAAGAAAGCUCGCGCAUCUGAGAAGGUAAGAUCCUUGCACACUAGAGGUGCAGUCAUCCUGGGGACAAUAAAAAGAACCAUGAUACAUAAUUGCUUAAUUUAUUUUAAUUUUAAAAGCAUAUCAAUUCUAUUAAUUAAUUAUAAUUUAUGAGUUUUUAGGAAAUGAAGUUGGGUCGUCCGAUGAACCAAGAUGAGCUAUUCAAAGAGACUCAUAUUGAGAAGAAGAAGAAAGAGACAUAUCAAGAAAGAUGGGUCUAGGGGCGAGCCUCGGCUAUACAUGUAAGUUUUCACUUUUCAGAAAAUCUCCUAGCUUCUAGAUAUUUUCCGAUUCCCCGCUCUCGGCCAUCAUCGGUAGAGGCUAGCCGUCCCCAUGGUCGUUCUCCCGUCCCCCAAGUGGUCGUUCCUCCCGUUCUCCCCGUAAUCAUUCUUCUCAUCAUCGACAAGUAGACCCUUCUCUAUGCCGUCAUGAUGAUGAAAGUUCAUCAGGCGGUGAUGAUAAUGAUGUACCAAACAUUGAUACUUUUUUGCCAAUUUUAACUACACAAAUACAGUCGUUUUUUAUUGGGUUGUAAUAAGAGUAGUUAACUUAGUUUGGUAGUUCUAUUGUACUUUACGCUUUUUUGGUUUUAAUGUUGUUUUUGUGUUGUUGAUGUUGUUGUUGGGUUGUUGUUUGGUGUUGUUGUUGGAAUUAUAGUUAGAAUUGUUGUUGUUGUUGCUUGGUAUUGUU
rnacentral:lncRNA from 1 species